UACGUAGGUGGCAAGCGUUGUCCGGAUUUAUUGGGUUUAAAGGGUGCGUAGGCGGCCCCGUAAGUCAGUGGUGAAAUAUCGCAGCUCAACUGUGAGGGUGCCAUUGAUACUGCGGGGCUUGAGUGGAGUCGGGGUGGUCGGAAUUUACGGUGUAGCGGUGAAAUGCAUAGAUACCGUAAAGAACACCGAUAGCGAAGGCAGGCCACUGGGCUCCAACUGACGCUGAGGCACGAAAGCGUGGGGAUCAAACAGG
rnacentral:rRNA from 1 species